GAAAAGAACUGUACAGCCCUUCUCUAGGUAGCUUCCUCCUACCCCCAAUAAGAGAGGGCAUCAGAAGUGACGGAGACUCCUGAAGUGGGUAUUAAUGUAGGGCAACUGAUAGACAGGAGGCCCUGGGUAUAGACUGGAGUAGACAUGGAGACUAGGGGCAAGACUCUAGAGAGUCCUGACAGUCAGUGUUCUGCAGAAGAAUAGAGAAGGGGGGAGGAUCCAGGCUGGACUAAAAGUUAAAGCUUAGGGAAAGGAUAGUAGUUGCUUUUGGUGUGGUGUCUUUUGUUUUGGGUCAGAGAUUCCAGAAGGCCUGAGGCUACUAAGGACAGAGGAGUGGAAUAGAACAGUGUCAGUGGGGUGCUGUCUGUGUGGAUUGCUGAUAUCCUCAAAGGGAGGGAACUAAUGUGACCUGCCCAGAAGGCUGAAUUGCAAGAAGAAAAGUCACUGCAUUGCAAGGCUGCUUUCUAGGAAAGAGCUACUGUGCCACACCUAGCUGUGAGGGGUCUGUCAGAGGUUAGGGGCCUAAGGCUUAGACCUGAUGGGAAGACAGUGUUGUGGUGAAAGGCAAGGCAGAGGAUGCAGCAGAAGCGAGGUUCCCCACUACUGACUGAAAUCACUAAGAAGUGGAUUAAAUGGUGGAACCUGAGACUGUGUCAUCACAACUAAAGAGCAGCAAGCAGCAGAAGCAACAAUGAUGUUAGUGGGCAGCAACAUUGACAGAGGUGGCAGCAACAGUGGGCAGCAGCAGCAACCUUCACUCCUCACAUGGGCGAGAGGUGAACACACCUGGACAUACCCUGAGAUUCUGGGAUUUCACUGAUCCAAGAGAACCAGCCCUAAGUGGCGUGUUAAAGGGGCUUUCGUCUAUUGGACUGUCACACUGCAAGGCGCUGAAGAGAGAAGUUAAGACAGCCUGAGGACACAGCACAGCAAACGCCAUGUACACAACGCAAACUGAGCACGAACUAGGGAGGUGGCCUUGUUUCCCCCGAGUUUGUUCCUGCAAUUCUAACUCCAAGACUUCUUUUAGCAUCAUUGUGAAACUGUUUCCAUCCUCAGCCACUGAUGCUGCAAAGUCAGAGGAAUCUGGCAAUUCUGGUUCCUGCAGCCGUUCCACACCUCACUCUCCCCUUCCGCAGUCACUUG